rnacentral:snoRNA from 1 species
GGGAGAUGCUGUUGCAGAAGAAAAAGGAGACUUCUGCUUAGAAUAUUUCCAAUGGGAAGACCAGAAUACUUUCUUUAAUAAUUAAAAAGUUGUCUUUUUUUAAAAAAAAAUUUCUUCCAAAA